rnacentral:rRNA from 1 species
ACGGAGGGGGCUAGUGUUGUUCGGAAUUACUGGGCGUAAAGGGCGCGCAGGCGGCUUGGCAAGUCGAGUGUGAAAUCCCUUGGCUUAACUAAGGAAUGGCGCUCGAAACUACCUCGCUAGAGGACGGGAGAGGGAAGUGGAACUCUCGGUGUAGGGGUGAAAUGCGUAGAUAUCUGGAGGAACACCGGUGGCGAAGGCGGCAUCCUGGACCAUUACUGACGCUGAUGAGCGAAAGCCAGGGGAGCAAACGGGA